GAUGAACGCUGGCGGCGUGCCUAAUACAUGCAAGUCGAGCGAACAGACGAGGAGCUUGCUCCUCUGACGUUAGCGGCGGACGGGUGAGUAACACGUGGAUAACCUACCUAUAAGACUGGGAUAACUUCGGGAAACCGGAGCUAAUACCGGAGAAUAUAUUGAACCACAUGGUUCAAUAGUGAAAGACGGUUUUGCUGUCACUUAUAGAUGGAUCCGCGCCGCAUUAGCUAGUUGGUAAGGUAACGGCUUACCAAGGCAACGAUGCGUAGCCGACCUGAGAGGGUGAUCGGCCACACUGGAACUGAGACACGGUCCAGACUCCUACGGGAGGCAGCAGUAGGGAAUCUUCCGCAAUGGGCGAAAGCCUGACGGAGCAACGCCGCGUGAGUGAUGAAGGUCUUCGGAUCGUAAAACUCUGUUAUUAGGGAAGAACAAAUGUGUAAGUAACUAUGCACGUCUUGACGGUACCUAAUCAGAAAGCCACGGCUAACUACGUG
rnacentral:rRNA from 1 species